rnacentral:rRNA from 1 species
GACGGAGGGUGCAAGCGUUGCUCGGAAUCAUUGGGCGUAAAGGGUGCGUAGGUGGCGCCGUAAGUCGGGUGUGAAAUUUCGGAGCUUAACUCCGAAACUGCAUUCGAUACUGCCGUGCUUGAGGACUGGAGAGGAGACUGGAAUUUACGGUGUAGCGGUGAAAUGCGUAGAUAUCGUAAGGAAGACCAGUGGCGAAGGCGGGUCUCUGGACAGUUCCUGACGCUGAGGCACGAAGGUCAGGGGAGCAAACGGG